GACGAACGCUGGCGGCGUGCUUAACACAUGCAAGUCGAGCGAGAAAGCACCUUCGGGUGUGAGUACAGCGGCGAACGGGUGAGUAACACGUGGGCAACCUGCCCCAGAGACUGGGAUAACGUCCCGAAAGGGACGCUAAUACCGGAUGGUGCGCGACCUGCCAAGUAGGUCGCGCCAAAUGGUAGCUUCGGCUUCUGCUCUGGGAUGGGCCCGCGCCGGAUUAGCCUGUUGGUGAGGUAACGGCUCACCAAGGCGACGAUCCGUAGCUGGUCUGAGAGAACGAUCAGCCACACUGGGACUGAGACACGGCCCAGACUCCUACGGGAGGCAGCAGUGGGGAAUCUUGCGCAAUGGGCGAAAGCCUGACGCAGCAACGCCGCGUGAGCGAAGACGGCCUUCGGGUUGUAAAGCUCUGUCAGGAGGGACGAAGCUACUCAGGUGAAUAGCCGAGAGGGUGACGGUACCUCCAGAGGAAGCCCCGGCUAACUACGUGCCAGCAGCCGCCGUAACAC
rnacentral:rRNA from 1 species